AGCCCGGUGGUGUAGCGGUCAAGCAUAGCGGGCUUUGGACCCGCUGACGGCGGUUCGAAUCCGCCCCGGGCUA
rnacentral:tRNA from 1 species